rnacentral:lncRNA from 1 species
AAACACAUUUCAUUUAUUUAUUUAUAACAUCCGACCAGUCGGAUUCGUAAACAAGUAAGUGACUUUUUUAAUUUCAACGGGAGAUAUCUCUCCUACAUCUGAAUGUUGCUCUUCAAAGGGUUUUAGCAGUAAAAGAACAUUUGUUAAGGUGAGAAUGCGUACAAAGACUUUGUUAUUAGUUCUACAGCUAUCAACUGUCAUGGGUUGAAAAUCACUACACAACUCCUCCAAUUCGCUUGUUUUGUCUCACACUGAAUGAGAAAAGCCAUUGAAUGGGUGGAGUAUUGCUUCAAAUGUUUGAAUCUCAUCAAUGAGGAGAUUAGUAAAACAUGCUCUAGUUUUUUUGAUUGCUUGCAACUUAAAUUUUUUUUUUUAUUUCUCAUUUACUCUUUUUGCCAACCUUAUUUUAAUUUUUUAUUGAUUCUUAGUUUUAGAAAAAGCAAAUGCAAUUUUUUUAAUAUAAUUAUAAAAAUAAUAUUUAAUACACCAUUAAUGAAUAAUAACAUGAUAAAUUAAAUAAAAAAUAUGGAUAACUUAUAAAUAAAUACAAAUAUUUUUAUUUUAAAAUAAUCAAACAUUAAUCAUAACAUUUAGGAUGUUAGGUUUAAAGGUGUAAGGUCUAAAAUUUAGGAUUUCAGGUUUAGAGUUUUAUAGUUUGUUUAUAAUUAAUUAUGUUUAAAUAAAUUUUUUAGUAUUUAUUUUUUAAGUCCUCCACAAUUUUUUGUUUUCUUCAAUAAUGAGAUAUCAUAUUAUUAUUCAUCGAUAAUGCAUAGUACUUAUGCACCGAUAAUACAUCAAAUAUUCUCCUUAACUAUAAUAUAUAUGAACAAAAAAAAUAUAACUUUAACAUGUAAUUUUAAUAGUUUUAACUACUAUUUAACGUUAAAAUUAUUUCAUUUUAUAUUUUAUUAUAGAAUAUUAUUUAAUAUAAGUAUGGUUUUAAUAAUCUUUCUUUUUUAUUAUAUCUAUAUACUCAUUUUAAUCUAGUGUUUUUUUAAUUUUAUCAUAGUUGAUCUCAUUGCUCAUCCAAAUAAAUCUUAGAACAAAUGUUUUACCUUUAAUUUUUUAGGCUUUUAGUUGGCAUUCCAGGCAAUGUUAUCUUUAAUGUUUGAAUUUAUUUUCUUUAAAGUGAACUGCAUCUUACCGCGGCUCGCAAUAUUUAAAUAAAUUAUUGAAAUAAAAUUAUAUUAUUUAAUUAUUAUAUGUUCCACUUGAAUGCUUUCACAGUGGCUUCAACAAGAUGGGUUGGGAGUACAGAGUGUGAGAAUAGGCUGACUGAUUCUUUCUUCUGUAGUUAGUUUCUCCUUUUUUUUUCAUUUGAGAAAAAAACAUUAACUCAAGGAAAGGCUUGAGAAUUAAUGGAGUCAAAUAUGCAUGGCAGCGUAGUAUCUCAUGAAGGUAUUUGGCAUGCUCAAGACCUGGGAGAAUGACUGUCAUGCAUGAAACGUAAUUCAACUAUGUGCUGUAUGUAUUUUAUGUUGUGCCACAAUCACAAAGCCAAUUGGGGAAGUUCAUUGAGAUAUUCACGGUUUGAGUUACUGGUUUAAGGUGCAUAAUUUUCUAUAUAAUUCGCUUAAUAUGAUUUUUGGGUUUCAGGGCACUACUGCUUUCAAAGGGAUGCAACACUUGACCCUGGUUCAGAUCUAGUGUAUGAAACUGCGUUUUUUUUUUCAGCAGUGAUGACAUCCUAUUGCGCUGCUAUGCUAUCAACUUGAAUAUGGAAACUGGUGGUUCAAUUAAAUUAGCCACAGAAACUACGAGAUUGUCUUUAUGGUACCUAUGAAAGCUCUAGUCGCUGAAGUGAGAGAUUCUUAGUCACGCAGGUAUGUUUCAAAGCAAUAAUCUUAAGAGUUUACCAUGGUUUAACAAUUCCUCAUGCUGGGAUUGGCAAGGAAUUUUCACCAAAUUGUAUCUUCCAACUCCCUUUGCUGCUCCUUCAGAUUCAGGGGGACCAAACCAACAGAGGUAAGUCCAAAAUUUCAGCUGAUUUUGAUGGAUACUCUAUCUGGUUUCAUCACAAAUUUUUCUUUAUUGUCUUUUGUUACAGGCCCUAAACUUCAAAUUCUUAUACCGCUGGAAAUAAACAGGCAUGCAUCCAUCCAAUACAUGAUCUAAAAUUAAAAAAAUCAACAAAGUUUUUUUACAACAUAAGUUUCAGCUUGAUUGAAAACAACAAAACAAUAAAGGAUUCACACCAUACAGUUUAGAUUAAUAACUAAAACCACAAAUUAACAAUCCCCCAACAACAAAGUUGGUUUGAUUGUUCUAAAGAGGUGCUUAAUUCCUUACUAUUUUCCCACUAAAUAGCAUUAGGCAGAUCUAGAAAAUGAUAUUCAUUUUCCC